AAUGAAUGAUUGAUAAAUCCUCACUUAAUUCUCAUUCCUUUAUAGGAGACCUACUGCAGAAGAGACACUGGAGCAUCCUUGGUUCAAAACACAAGCAAAGGGAGCAGAGGUGAGCACAGAUCACCUGAAGCUUUUCCUGUCCAGGAGGAGGUGGCAGGUAAGUUUUUCUGGGCCCUACCUCUGUCCUUUCCACAUUCAUUUUCUCUCACACA
rnacentral:lncRNA from 1 species